CCCAUCAUUGGUAGAUUGGAUAAAGAAAGUGUGGUACAUAUGGUCAUUUUAUUAGGAAGUGAAAUAAAGUGUAUGUUAAUGAGCAUGUUGCUUUUGUGGGCCUAAUCCUAACAGCAACCGUCUGAGAAGCUGUGUGGAGCAUCCCUCAAGUCAUCCUUUCUUGGAUGAUGGGGAGGCUGGGGCAUUUAUCCACUUACCUUCCUUCCCCAUUGGUUGAUGGGUGUCCCUGGUGGCAUGAACCCCUCUCACUUCAGGGUUGCAUUUGUUUUUGACAGAGCAAACCCCAUGGUGUUGGAGAAUCAGGAGAAGAAGAGAGAGGCUGGUCUAGAGGUGCAGAGCUUUCAGCAAACUGCUUACCACACCUAAGGUCAUUUUGAAUAUCUCUUGGGAGCCUGCAUCUCUUCCUUAUGAUCAGUUUCCUAGCACAGCGACUCAAGGGCCUGAUGCGUCAGGCUGCUGAGAUAUCUAUCUGUUCCGACAAAGGCUGCCUCAGUGCCAUGAAAACACAUCACGUGCUGCAAGUCCUGGCAACAUUUAUGUCUCCAAUGCAAAAUUGUGGAUUUCUGCCAAGAAUUUACCUGCCUAUUCUCCAAGGACAAACAGUGUGUGUUGCAGCCCUAAAACUACAUAUUUUCCUGCUACUUCAAAAUCUCCAUAAAAGGGCUGUGAGUUUCCAAUUUAGUCAACCAGGUGCACCAAUGUGAUAAGGUUGGUCCCUGCUGGAGGUUCUCCUUCCUACUUCCUUUCCUGACUGUGACCUAGUGACAUUCAAACACACCAGUGAAAUUCCCUCACUCCUUUUCUUGUGUGUCCCACCCUGAACCUCAAUAAAUGUACUUGCUCACAGGUUCUCUCUCUCUCUCUGCUUCCCAUCUGCUUGGGUGAUCCUGAUCCCUUCGUGCUCAUUCCCAUGUGAUUCCCCUUUCAGCAUGCAGUGAUCCUGUCUCUCUGGGACCUGUGAGCAUCAUAAACUGUUUUUUCCUGAGCCUCUCCUGUUUCUUCUCGUGGCCACACCUGACUUACCAUCUCAUGAAAGAAUGCAAAACAGUGAUUAUACUUUUUUUUUCCUUUAGGAAGGAGAGUAACAGAAGGAUCAGUUUCCAUUGAAAGUGCUAUGAUACAAU
rnacentral:lncRNA from 1 species